AGGAGGGAUGCUGGUUUGGCUCUGCGUUCUCACUCUCCUGAGAACAACUUGAUUUUAUGAUCAGCAAAUAAACCUGAGGGCUCACAGGCUUUAAAACUUUCAUCAGGAAGCCUCCCACUACCUUGAGGAAAUUGCCUUUAAUCUUCUCAUUUCACAUGUACAUAAUCAAAGGCACUUAGAGGUGUCUCAAAAGAGGUAAAACUCUAACCUCUUG
rnacentral:lncRNA from 1 species